ACGGGAGGCAGCAGUGAGGAAUAUUGGGCAAUGGAGGCAACUCUGACCCAGCCAUGCCGCGUGAGUGAAGAAGGUUUUCGGAUUGUAAAGCUCUUUCGGGUGUGACGAUGAUGACGGUAGCACCUAAAGAAGCCCCGGCUAACUUCGUGCCAGCAGCCGCGGUAAUACGAAGGGGGCAAGCGUUGUUCGGAAUUACUGGGCGUAAAGGGAGUGUAGGCGGUUAUGUAAGAUAGUGGUGAAAUCCCAGAGCUUAACUUUGGAAUUGCCAUUAUGACUAUGUGGCUAGAAUUACAGAGAGGAUAGUGGAAUACCCAGUGUAGAGGUGAAAUUCGUAGAUAUUGGGUAGAACACCAGUGGCGAAGGCGACUAUCUGGCUGUAUAUUGACGCUGAGGCUCGAAAGCAUGGGGAUCAAACAGGAUUAGAUACCCUGGUA
rnacentral:rRNA from 1 species